CGUAGGUGGCAAGCGUUGUCCGGAUUUACUGGGCGUAAAGCGAACGCAGGCGGACACUUAAGUAGGAAGUGAAAGGUUGGAGCUCAACUCCGGCACUGCUCCCUAUACUGGGUGUCUUGAGUCUUGGAGAGGAAAGCGGAACGACACGUGUAGCGGUGAAAUGCGUUGAUAUGUGUCGGAACACCGAUGGCGAAAGCAGCUUUCUGGACAAGUACUGACGCUGAGGUUCGAAAGCCAAGGGAGCGAACAGGAUUAGAUACCCUGGUAGUCUUGGCCAUAAACGAUGUUCACUAGGUGUCGGGGCUUUGCUUCGGUGCCGCAGCUAACGCAUUAAGUGAACCGCCUGGGAACUACGAUCGCAAGAUUA
rnacentral:rRNA from 1 species